GAUGUAAAUAGUGCUAUGUAUGAUGUGAUGUGAUCGAUCGUGCAUAUUCAGCACAAAUCAAUUAAUUGUUAAUUUUGUAUCAAUUAAAUCUACUAUCCAUUAAAAAAUAAUUCCACUCUAUGAAAGUACAUGAUUUUUUUUGUCUUGAUUUUGUUCUUAGUAUUCAAGUAUAAUUUCAAAAUAUGAAAGAAUAUGAAACACAAGAACAAAUAUUUU
rnacentral:misc_RNA from 1 species